rnacentral:rRNA from 1 species
UACGUAGGGGGCGAGCGUUGUCCGGAUUUAUUGGGCGUAAAGAGCGUGUAGGCGGCCAGGUAGGUCUGCUGUGAAAACUCGAGGCUCAACCUCGAGACGUCGGCGGAAACCAUCUGGCUAGAGUCCGGAAGAGGAGAGUGGAAUUCCUGGUGUAGCGGUGAAAUGCGUAGAUAUCGGAAAGAACACCAGUGGCGAAGGCGACUUUCUGGACUCUAACUGACGCUGAGGUGCGAAAGCAUGGGUAGCAAACAGG